rnacentral:rRNA from 1 species
GAUGAACGCUGGCGGCGUGCCUAAUACAUGCAAGUCGAGCGAACAGACGAGGAGCUUGCUCCUCUGACGUUAGCGGCGGACGGGUGAGUAACACGUGGAUAACCUACCUAUAAGACUGGGAUAACUUCGGGAAACCGGAGCUAAUACCGGAUAAUAUAUUGAACCGCAUGGUUCAAUAGUGAAAGACGGUUUUGCUGUCACUUAUAGAUGGAUCCGCGCCGCAUUAGCUAGUUGGUAAGGUAACGGCUUACCAAGGCAACGAUGCGUAGCCGAGCUGAGAGGGUGAUCGGCCACACUGGAACUGAGACACGGUCCAGACUCCUACGGGAGGCAGCAGUAGGGAAUCUUCCGCAAUGGGCGAAAGCUUGACGGAGCAACGCCGCGUGAGUGAUGAAGGUCUUCGGAUCGUAAAACUCUGUUAUUAGGGAAGAACAAAUGUGUAAGUAACUAUGCACGUCUUGACGGUACCUAAUCAGAAAGCCACGGCUAACUACGUG